rnacentral:rRNA from 1 species
AGCAGCCGCGGUAAUUCCAGCUCCAAUAGCGUAUAUUAAAGUUGUUGCAGUUAAAAAGCUCGUAGUUGAAUUUCAGGCCUGGCUGGACGGUCCGCCCUUCGGGUGAGUACUGUCUGUGGUCGGGUCCUACCUUCUGGCGAAGCGUCAUGGCCUUAACCGGCUGUGGCGGGGAACCAGGACUUUUACUGUGAAAAAAUUAGAGUGUUCAAAACAGGCAAUCGCUUGGAUACAUUAGCAUGGAAUAAUGGAAUAGGACAAUGGUUCUAUUUGUUGGUUUCUAGGACCGUUGUAAUGAUUUAAUAGGGAUAGUUGGGGGCAUUAGUAUUCAAUUGUCAGAGGUGAAAUUCUUGGAUUUAUUGAAGACUAACUACUGCGAAAGCAUUUGCCAAGGAUGUUUUCAUUAAUCAAGACGAAAGUUAGGGGAUCGAAGACGAUCAGAUACCGUCGUAGUCUUAACCAUAAACUAUGCCGACUAGGGAUCGGAUGAUGUUAAUUUUUAAUGACUCAUUCGGCGCCUUAC